AUUGAACGCUGGCGGCAUGCUUUACACAUGCAAGUCGAACGGUAACAGGCCGCAAGGUGCCGACGAGUGGCGAACGGGUGAGUGAUGCAUCGGAACGUGCCCAGUCGUGGGGGAUAACGCAGCGAAAGCUGCGCUAAUACCGCAUACGAUCUAUGGAUGAAAGCGGGGGACCGUAAGGCCUCGCGCGAUUGGAGCGGCCGAUGUCAGAUUAGGUAGUUGGUGGGGUAAAGGCUCACCAAGCCAACGAUCUGUAGCUGGUCUGAGAGGACGACCAGCCACACUGGGACUGAGACACGGCCCAGGCUCCUACGGGAGGCAGCAGUGGGGAAUUUUGGACAAUGGGCGCAAGCCUGAUCCAGCAAUGCCGCGUGCAGGAAGAAGGCCUUCGGGUUGUAAACUGCUUUUGUACGGAACGAAACGGCUCUGGUUAAUACCUGGGGCUAAUGACGGUACCGUAAGAAUAAGCACCGGCUAACUACGUGCCAGCCGCCGCGGUAACAC
rnacentral:rRNA from 1 species